UUGUGGAGACAGCUUGGUGUGGUGCACUGGGCUUUGGGAAACGUGUGGCCUGGGUCCAGCCAUAGUCCGGGCCUUUGGGUGAGCUGCUAAGCUGCUCUGAGUCUCCGCGUCCUUGGCUGUGUUGCAAGUACGUGCCAGGAGUCGGGGAGAGUGUCACAUCCCUUACGUGAUGUGAACAUGCUGUCCCAGCAGGGGCUGUUACCGGUGACUCCUCUGACUAACAGCUUGAACUGUGAAAACUCCAUCAUGGCAGACCGGGAACCUUGGACCUGAGGACGGACAACCAGCCUCCCCAAGAUGCACCCAAAUUCCCAGCCCUGCCCUCCUCUACCGACCCCGCCUCCCGCCCAGGCCUGCCUGGAACUGGAAUGGCAUUGCAGAACCCCUUUGGCUUCUCCCACAGACCCUGCUGUUCUUGGCCGCAGACAAGUUUGUUCUCUGUCUUCCAUUUUGCCGGAAAGGCUCACGCCACCUUGCUCGGCUGGGCUACUCUCACUCACCUCCGAGGCCCAGCCCAAGCGUGAGCUCACCCAGGAAACCCUUGGCUGUUGAAGCCUCCCCACGGCCUCCACACACACGUACACUCUGCCCUCCACAGCACCCGGCAAAUCUCUUUUCAGCUCUUCCUGUAUUGUGCUGACCCAAGUCCUUAAUUUACAGCCCAGAUUGCCUCCCCCUGUCCCCAUGGUAGGGUCUGCAAGGUCCCCCCAGUCAUCUAGACUUUAGAAGUACUUCUGCAGAGAUGGAAGUUACCGCCCUGCCAGCUCUUCUGAUUCCUGACCCUUGCCACGCCCCCUUUGGCUAUUGCAGUCCACCCCAACCCCCUUAGGGUCUCUGAGCCUACCUGGGGGCAGCCGGUCCCAAUCUCAGUCUGCAUCCUGCUUCCCUGCUGCCUCUUGGGUCCUCACAGCAGCUUUUCCGUCUCCUUCCCACAAGUAACAGCAGAAUACCAGACUUACCGAAGGUUUGAGGGAGAGAAGGAUUAGUCUGCAGUCAAGCCUCGUACAGGCAGCAGCUUAAAAGUAUGUAUGAGAUAUCAGUGUUCCUUAAUUCUACCAACCGUUCUCUGGCUUCAGCUAUGGCCCCCAGAGAGCGCCCUUUGAUGUCUGCCCCGGGGUGAGGCUCGUCUCAUCCGCCCAUCAACACAGGCGUAUUUUCUUUUCACUCACCAGUCCCCAUUCCUGCCAUUUCCCUGUGUUUCAGUCUGCAUUCCCUCCCCUCACUAAGAUCUGGGUUUGUCUUCGGGUGUCCAACACUCACGAAUGAAUAAAAGAGCGUGCCCCUCAUGGCAGCACACUCCAGCGGCAGGAGCUCUGAAGCCAGUUUCCCGCAUCCUUAGGCAGCUGGGGUCGGUGGGAUUUGGUUUAUUUGUUUGGGAUGAAGCAUUCAGUAAAUGUUUGCUGAACGAAUGAAAGAGCUCAUGAGAGGAACUAACUGAGCUUAACAAAUAGUGAGCAAGCAAGAAAUAUUUGUUGAAGAAUAGAACGAACCAGUGGCUUGGUGAAUACAUCCUCAACUGCUGUACCCUUAUCCACUUGCUUCUUAGAAGACUUAUCUUUCUGUUUCUGACUCAGGCAGUUAACCUGACCCCGACUCCUCACGACAUUCAGCUUGGUUUGACCUUGGGUUGCAUACAGUCUAGUGGCUAAGGACUCAGGCUCUGCAGUCAGAUAGACGCAGGUUCAAAUAUCUGUUGCUUAGGAAUUCUACAUGCCCUUGGGCAAGGCACACAGUUUAAGUCUGAGUUUCCUCCUUUUAAAAUUCAGAAUGAUAACAGUACUGACUCAAAAGGUUUGAAGAAGGAUCAAUGGGGAUAAUCCACCUAGCGUGCUUAGCAGAAUGCUUUAAUGCCUAGCACAUAGCAAGCACUCAAUAAAUGUGAGUGCUGUUAUUAAUUAUUGCCAUUGUCUCCUUCUCAUUAUCAUCCCAGGUGUCUGGGCUCAGUGAGAAGGCUCUAAGCCCUUUCCCAGGACAAAGGUUUCACCUCUCCGGAGAUUAUAGUUACCCCUCUUUGCCAGGUACAGCGGCACUAGGUAGAGAUGUUCUGAUAAUUCUAAGUGGGUGGUCUUUAAGCCUGGUUUGGAGAGUGGGUGGUUUGUUUUAGCAACUUAAUCUAAUUUUUCUCUUUUAACAAAACUUUACAAGAAAUGCCAACACACAACAGGAUCAAAAAGAAGUGUUAAUGAAUUCAGCUUCUAGGGUCAUUUGCUGGAAUUCUGACUCCUUCAGUUACCAGUAUGUGAGAUUGCCCAAAUUUUCCAGCUAAGCCUAAAUUUUCGCAUCUUCAAAAUGGACAUAAUAAUGGUACACAUGUGACAGGGCAGUUGCAUGAGCUAAGGAAUAUAACAAGGCACCUGCUGUGUGCUCAAAGGUUAGCAUUUAUUAUAUGAGCAUCUGAUGGUGGAAGAGAGGAUAAACCAGCUCCCAACCAUGGUUCAGGCGGAAGCCCUGGAACCAUGUUUUAAAAACUCCAGAUCUUACUAGUUACACUGUUCUGAUUUUGUUGCAGGAAGGGGGACCCCUUCCAGGGCCCGAGAGUGGGCUCUUGUCUAACACUCAGAAAUGAAUUGUCUGAGGAGACACACGUGCUGACAGAGCAAAAGACUUUAUUGGGGAGGGGCGCCCGGGCAGAGAGCAGCGGGGUCAGGGAACCCAGGAGGACUGCUCUGCCACGUGGCUCACAGUCUUGGGUUUCAUGGUAAUGGGGUUAGUUUCCGGGUCGUCUCUGGACAAGCGUUCUGACUCAGGGUCUUUCCUGGUGGCGCGCGCAUCUCUCAGCCAAGAUGGAUUCCAGCGAGAAGGAUUCUGGGAGGUUGGUAGGACACAUAGGCUGGCGUCUCCUCUCUCCUUUUGACCUUUCCAGAAUUCUUCCAGCCGGUGGUAGCUCGUUAGUUUUGCGUUCCUUACCAGGACCUCCUUUUGUAAAGAUAACUCAUACAAGUGGCUAAUAUCUUCCGUGGCCAGGGUGGGCAGUUUCGGUCAGUGGUCCCCCCUAACAAUUUUACAUCUAUCUAGAUUGGUGCCACGAUGCCCAGGAACAUUCCAGAAUGCCUGUACUCUGACCAAGCUCUUAGUUUUCUCCAUGAACCCUACUAUGACAGAAAACUGCUUUGGAAAAUCUCAGUUCUGCCCUAAGCUGAAGGUCACAUCCUUUAUCCUUGACUUUAAAAGCUGUAUUUAUAGAUGGGAAGGGAAUUGCAUCUAAAUCAUGCAGGCCCUGCCCGUGUCACACUCAGUUAAUUGGACUCACUCUGAAAAGGAUGUCCCUGCCUUUUAUUAGAUAAUCAAGAAAAAUAGAAACAAUUAUAUGGUCCAGGAUGCACCCUGAACCCUUUUCAAGGUCAGUAAUAACAUGUCCUGCCUGAAUCAAUUUGAACUAAAUUGGAUUGCUUUGAUCGAAAAACUACUGUAACUUUUACAAAUGUGUCAUUUUUGCAGACAUAUUUUUUCCAGUUAUAUAAAGACCACAGAUGAGUCACUUGUCAUUUGUAAACCCAAAAGGAACUAGAUUACGGAAUAGACACAUCUGAAAUCAAAACAGUAUUUAUAAAAACCACACUAGGAUUUUCUCCAGUAAAAAGAGAUGAUUUUCAAAAUCAGGAAAAAUAAAUAAAUAUUAGCACUAUUUCUUAGAUUUUUCAGUCUAAAUAGUCAAAGUAAUAAGAUACAGGUUUAACUGGUUCCAUGGAUCCUUGAUUAGCUGGAAUUCUUUGGGAAUAGCAUGUUUUGGUUAACUGGAUUUUCUCUACCUUGUAAGAAACUUUUCUAGAACAUAGUUUUAUCCUUCCCUUCCUCCUUUCUUCUUCUCUCCCUCCUAUUUUCUCUCCUUCCUUUCUUAAAAAUGAAUAUAAGGGAUAGAAUUUAAUCUUUCAGAUCUUCUGGACAAUCAUUCUGAGCGCAAAAAUUCACUGUUCAGUCUUGAAAUAAGGAAGUUGGCUUGAUUAAUUCUCUGGACAAUUGAAUAGCAAAUAAGUUUAUGGUUAUUUGACAAAUCCCUAGUCUUUCUCUGUGACAUAGCCUUCAUUUCUUUUC